rnacentral:rRNA from 1 species
GUUUGAUCCUAGCUCAGGAUGAACGCUGGCGGCGUGGAUAAGGCAUGCAAGUCGAGCGCCCCGCAAGGGGAGCGGCAGACGAGGUAGUAAUAAAUAAGUACGUACCCUAGAGUCGGGCAUAGCUCGCCGAAAGGCGGGGUAAUUCCCGAUAGUCUCGCAAGAGUAAAGUUUUUCGCUCUGGGAACGGCUUAUUCGGUAUCAGCUAGUUGGUAGGGUAAUGGCCUACCAAGGCAAUGACGCCUAGGGGACCUGAGAGGGUGACCCCCACCGAUGGGACUGAGACACGGCCCAUACACCUACGGGUGGCUGCAGUCGAGAAUCUUCCGCAAUGGACGAAAGUCUGACGGAGCGACGCCGCGUGGAGGAUGAAGUUCUUCGGAAUGUAAACUCCUUUUGCCAGGGAAAAAGUUAUUGAUUGUACCUGGAGAAUAAGAAGUUGCUAAACUCGUGCCAGCAGCAGCGGUAAUACGAGUGCUUCGAGCGUUAUCCGGAAUCAUUGGGCGUAAAGGGUGUGUAGGUUGUUAUGUUAGUCUCUCGUCAAAUCUUUCGGCUCAACCGAGAGUCCGCGAGGGAAACGGCAUAACUAGAGGUUGGGAGAGGUCUCUGGAACUCAUGGUGUAGCGGUGAAAUGCGUUGAUAUCAUGGGGAACACCAAAAGCGAAGGCAAGAGACUGGCCCACACCUGACACUGAAACACGAAAGCGUGGGUCGCGAAUGGGAUUAGAUACCCCAGUAGUCCACGCCCUAAACGAUGAUCUCUAGAUUUGGGGAGUAUCGACCCUCUCCGAGUCGUAGCAAACGCGUUAAGAGAUCCGCCUGGGUAGUACGGCCGCAAGGUUGAAACUCAAAGGAAUAGACGGGGACUUGCACAAGCGGUGGAACAUGUGGUUUAAUUCGACGCUAAACGAAGAACCUUACCAGGGUUAGAAAUCCAUUCGAAGACUGGCAGAAACGUCAGUCGCCGCAAGGCGGAUGGACAGGUGCUGCAUGGCUGUCGUCAGUUCGUGGUUUGAACUGUUCCCUUCAGUGGGGUAACGAACGCAACCCCUGUUGCCUGUUACAAGUGUCAGGCGAGACCGCCCAGCCCUUUGCUCGCGAAGCGAGCAAAGGAAACACUAAAUUCGAAACACUAAACUCUAAAAUCGUACUGCGAUUUUUAGGAUUUAGAACUUAGGAUUUAGGAUUUCCUUUGCGCUUACGCGCAAAGGGCUGGGAGGAAGGUGGGGAUGACGCCAAGUCAGCAUGGCCCUCUGAUACCCUGGGCUACACACGUGUUACAAUGGCGCGUACAACGGGACGCAAUGUCGCGAGACGGAGCAAACCCUUAUAAAACGCGCCCCAGUUCGGAUAGAAGUCUGCAACUCGACUUCUUGAAGCCGGAAUCGCUAGUAAUCGCAGGUCAGCUAUACUGCGGUGAAUACGUUCUCAAGUCUUGUACUCACCGCCCGUCAACCCAAGGGAGUCGGAGGUGCCCGAAGUCUCGCCUCGUGCGGGCCUACGGCAAAUUCGAUGACAGGGGGUAAGUCGUAACAAGGCACGGGUAGCGGAAGCUGCUCGUG